UCAGCCUUAUUAACGUUCACAGUGCAGGCA
rnacentral:piRNA from 1 species